CGAAAGCCUGACGGAGCAACGCCGCGUGCGGGAGGACGGCCUGUGGGUUGUAAACCGCUUUUCUCAGGGAAGAAGAUCUGACGGUACCUGAGGAAUCAGCAUCGGCUAACUCCGUGCCAGCAGCCGCGGUAAUACGGAGGAUGCAAGCGUUAUCCGGAUUUAUUGGGCGUAAAGCGUUCGUAGGUGGCGAUUCAAGUCUGCUGUCAAAGACAGUAGCUCAACUACUGAAAGGCAGUGGAAACUGAAUAGCUAGAGUGCGGUAGGGGCAGAGGGAAUUCCCGGUGUAGCGGUGAAAUGCGUAGAGAUCGGGAAGAACACCGGUGGCGAAAGCGCUCUGCUGGGCCGCAACUGACACUGAGGGACGAAAGCUAGGGGAGCG
rnacentral:rRNA from 1 species